UACGGGGGGAGCAAACGUUGUUCGGAAUCACUGGGCGUAAAGAGCGCGCAGGCGGUCGUUCAAGUCGCGUGUGAAAGCCCCCGGCUCAACUGGGGAGGGUCACGCGAUACUGAUCGACUCGAAGGCAGGAGAGGGAAGUGGAAUUCCCGGUGUAGUGGUGAAAUGCGUAGAUAUCGGGAGGAACACCAGUGGCGAAGGCGACUUCCUGGCCUGUUCUUGACGCUGAGGCGCGAAAGCUAGGGGAGCAAACGGG
rnacentral:rRNA from 1 species